UAUCUAGAAGUAUUAUGUAGAAAGGAGAAAAAAAUAUUGUUGUAUGUGGAAAAUUCCAAAUGGGCACAGGUCAAUGACCACACCAUUUAUUGUGACCAUAAUGUUCAGAGUAAGGAGUUAAUAAGAUAAAGGCUACAUAAGCCAGCUAGCUUUGCUAUAUUCGUUGAAAACAACAAUUAGUUGGUUUUUGGUAGGAGGGGAAAAGUGUGUAUAUUGAUUUUGCCUGUAAAAAGUAAGGGAGGCUUUCAGAAGUUUUUCUGAGUUUAAAAAUAAAAACAAAAAAGUUUUAGCUUAUAUCCAAGCAAAUCCAGUGCUUAAAAAUUGAUUAUCUAAAAUUUUCUUAUUUUCAAGGAAAGCUUUUUUUUUUUUAACUUUUCACUUUAUAUUUCUUUAACCAUUGGCUGCUACAUGGAAUUUAGAAUCUCUGAAAGGACAUUAUUUAUUUUACAUUUUUAGUUAAUGAAUAGGUUGCAUCAAUACAUUUGCAUCAUAAUUUGGGGUCAAAAUAAUCCAUCUAUAGUAUCCUAACCAUUAGCUAUUUAGAAAUCUUUGUCCUCAGAGUCUAGCAUGCACUGUGUUUGGCACCUAGGAAAUUAAUAAGUGCUUGUUAACUGGGAUGGAAUAAAAAGAUAUAUCUACCUCUGUAAGAGAUUGAUUUGACCAACAAUAAUAGUGAGAAUAAUUCUUGGGAAUGUUUUUCUGUUUUGUAGGUAAACACAGGUCCAGAGUUGGAUAUUCCAGAGAGCAGACCUAGAACAUUUCUUGGAUACCGAGUCAUUAGAUAGAAUUCUUCCAUACUCAGGCUCCUGCUGCUUAGCAAAGGAGCAGACAAUAUAGAUUGCCAUAUAGGCUAUGGGACAGAUACCUAAUUGCUUCCCUGGAAAGUCCAAAUCUCUGGAGAAAUCUUGGUUUUUUUGAAGCAAUUAACUGUUCCCCAUUCUCCCAACAACACACUGAAAAAAUAGUAUUAUAUUAAUUAGAAAAAAAGAAUUCAGAAGACAGGUCCGGGGAGA
rnacentral:lncRNA from 1 species